rnacentral:lncRNA from 1 species
GCCUAUAUGUCAUCCAUGGGUGAUACCAUCACACCAUAAGCAACUACCAUGUUGACCAAUGAACCGAAUGUCAUCCAUGGACACCAUAAGCAACUACACCAUGUUGACCAACAUAAGCAACUACACACCAUGUUGACCAAUGACCCAUAUGUCAUCCAUGGACACCAUAAGCAAAUACACCAUGUUAACCAAUGACCCAUAUGUCAUCAAUGGACACCAUAAGAAACUACACAAUGUUGACCAAUGACCCAUAUGUCAUCCAUGGACAUCAUAAGCAACUACACCUUGUUGACCAAUGAACCAUAUGUCAUCCAUGGACACCAUAAGCAACUACCCCGUUGACCCAUAUUUCAUCCAUGGACAACAUAAGCAACUACACACCAUGUUGACCAAUGACCCAUAUGUCAUCCAUGGACACCAUAAGCAAAUACACCAUGUUGACCAAUGACCCAUAUGUCAUCAAUGGACACCAUAAGCAACUACACCAUGUUGACCAAUGACCCAUAUGUCAUCCAUGGACAUCAUAAGCAACUACACCUUGUUGACCAAUGACCCAUAUGUCAACCAUGGACACCAUAAGCAACUACCAUGUUGACGAAUAACGGAAAUAUCAUCCAUGGACAUCAUAAGUAACUACACCAUGUUAGCCAAUGACCCUUAUUUCAUCCAUGGACACCGUAAGCAACUACCAUGUUGACCAAUUACCCAUAUGUCAUCCAUGGACACCAAAAGCAAUUACACCAAGUUUCUUAAUUACCCAUAUGUCAGAGACCAUAAGCAACUACAUGUUGACCAAUGACCUAUAUGUCAUCCAUGGACAACAUAAGCAUCUACACCAUGUUGACCAAUGACCCAUAUGUCAUUCAUGGACACCAUAAGAAACUACACCAUGUUGACCAAUGAACCAUAUGUCAUCCAUGGACACCAUAAGCAACUACACCUUGUUGACCAAUGACCCAUAUGUCAUCCAUGGACACUAUAAGCAACUACCAUGUUGACCAAUAACCCAUAUGUCAUCCAUGUACACCAUAAGUAACUACACCAUGUUAACUAAUGACCCUUAUGUCAUACAUGGACACCAUAAGCAACUACCAUGUUGACUAAUGACCUAUAUGUCAUCCAUGGACACAAAAAGCAACUACACCAUGUUGACUAGUCACCUAUACGUCAUCCAUGGACACCACAACCAACUACCACAUUAACCAAUGACACAUAUCUCAUACGUGGAAACCAUAAGCAACUAUAUGUUGACCAAUUGCCUAUAUGUUAUCCAUCGGUGAUACCAUCACACCAUAAGCAACUACCAUGUUGACCAAUGACCCAUACGUCAUCCAUGGACACAAUAAACAACUACAUGUUGACUAAUGAUCCAUAUGUCAUCCGUUGACACCAUAAGCAACUACUAUGUUGACCAAUGACCCAUAAUUCAUCCAUGGACACCAUAACCAACUACACCAUGUUAACCAAUGACCCAUAUAUCAUCCAUGGACACCAUAAGCAAUACACCAUGUUGACCAAUGACCCAUAUGUCAUCAAUGGACACCAUAAGCAACUACACCAUGUUGACCAAUGACCCAAAUGUCAUCCAUGGACACCAUAAGCAACUACACCUAGUUGACCAACAAAAGCAACUACACACCAUGUUGACCAAUGACCCAUAUGUCAUCCAUGGCCACCAUAAGUAAAUACACCAUGUUGACCAAUGACCCAUAUGUCAUCAAUGGACACUAUAAGCAACUACACCAUGUUGACCAAUGACCCAUAUGUCAUCAACGGACAUCAUAAGCAACUACACCUUGUUGACCAAUUAACCAUAUGUUAUCCAUGGACACCAUAAGCAACUACCAUGUUGACCCAUAUUUCAUCCAUGGACAACAUAAGCAACUACACACCAUGUUGACCAAUGACCC